rnacentral:rRNA from 1 species
GUGCCAACCGCCCCGGGAAAACCGGAGGUGCAAGCGUUUAUCCGAAUUACUGGGGCGUAAGCGCACGCAGGCGGUUUGUUAGUCAGAUGUGAAAUCCCCGGGCUCAACCUGGGAACUGCAUCUGAUACUGGCAAGCUUGAGUCUCGUAGAGGGGGGUAGAAUUCCAGGUGUAGCGGUGAAAUGCGUAGAGAUCUGGAGGAAUACCGGUGGCGAAGGCGGCCCCCUGGACGAAGACUGACGCUCAGGUGCGAAAGCGUGGGGAGCAAACAGGAUUAGAUACCCUGGUAGUCC